rnacentral:lncRNA from 1 species
GUGCUACAGUAGAGCUCAUUUUUCUCUCUCAAGCUUCUGGUGUUUUUCCCUUGACAACAUUAAUCCUCAUGAAUGGCAGCAGCAGCGGCGCCUGUAGGAUAGGUCCCCCUGCAGCACAGGACGAUAAAUUGUGGAGGAUAAAUCGACUGUACAGAAGCGUAGAUGAAGAGCGAAAUGUUCCGUUUCUUUCGCGCAUCCAGAACUGUGCUUCAUAGGCUGAGAAAACGUCUUAGAUAAAUAAACUCCGUGAGGCUGGGGUUUAAAAGCAGGAAGCAGCUGAACGCGGAAACUGCCUAUUGGACUAUCAUCUGUUUAAACACCGAGAAGGAUCCUGCGAAAUCUAAAGUAAAUACAAAGGCGCAUUUGAGCAAUCUUUAAAAGAGGCUUAAAACAAACCCUAUUUAAUCCUUUUAAAUGGUGCAUCUCCCCCAGCGGAAACAGAACAUGCCAAUUAGUUGAACAUCCUGACAAACAAAAUCUCUCAGGGCUGCACAGUGAAGGGAGACAGGUGCAUCCACUUAGUGAGGUCUUUUAAGGGGAAGCCAGCUGCAUUUCUGAACAUCUACAUGGCAUAACAAAAUGAAGACAGCAUACUUGAAAGGGAGGUAAUGGCGGUGAGUGCCCAAGAGCCAGGAAAAUGAGAAGGAGAAAGGAAACAGGUACUAAUUCUUGGCACGAGAGAUCGGAGUACAAGUCAAGGCAGGUUCGACUAUGCCGUGGUGACAGAAACUCGGAAAUCUUGCCACACGCACAUCUCGCUUGAUGGCUCUGCUCCAUGGGCCCUGGGACUCAGGCUCCUCCCUGUGGAGGCAGGAGGCCCAGGGUGGCAGUCUCUCCUGGCACUGACGUUUCCACGUGGAAGUGAUAUGCGAUUUCUGCUUCCAUUUUGCUGGAAGUCGUGGGGACAGAUGUAGGGCAAGAAGGAGGAGAGCAGGAGGCGUUUGGGAGCAGUUACUCCUGCCCAGUUCAAGCUGAGGUGUGGGUCUCGCCCACCACAUGCAGAAACACAUGGACCAUGCGGCCCAGCAACCCAGCUAAAGGGCUACGCAAAGUGUCUCUCAGGGAACUGCAGAGAUGGCCUCCUCUCCUUCCCUGGGAGCCUCGACUGUGGGAUUCCACUGGGCUCAAUAUUGUGAAACUUUGACAUCUUUCCCUGCUGCUCCUGAAUUGUUAGGCUGCUAUCAACUCCUGGAACAACAAAGAAAAGGGUAUUUCUUUUGUGGUGACAUAUGGGAAGAUGGUGACAGGAGGGAGUGUGAUGUCUGGGGAACCCAGAAGAAAGAGAAUCAGGCAGGUUUUCCUUCCACCAGUCCUGGGAAUGAAGAGCUUCUAGUUCAGAAGAGCUGUGGUGUGGUGCAUAUUGCUGUACACAUAAAAAGGCCAUUUGUGGAGUGUAAAUUAUACAUUUUUCCAAUAAAUAGUUUUUUCAGCUCCAAGAACAUACAUCAAACACGUAACUUAAUGAUGUAUCCUUUGGGUUGCGGGUUCCCAUUCAUGGGUGCAGAGUAAUUGCAAUGACUGUAACUCAGGCCUUGAUGAACAGCUUAGGAUGGCCCGUGUUUUAGUGUAAAUUGUGUAUCACUUAGAGUCUGAAGUUGUCAGUUAAAAUCCCAACUCUGCCACUGUUUCCAGGUGACCGUGCCCACCUCAAUUUCCUCAUCUGAAAACCAUGGGAAAACUCUGUUCACCAGCUCUAAGUCCCAAGUGUGUCAUAGUGUAAACGGCAGUGUUCUUUUCUUUCUCAGUGACACCAAAUAAUGUUGAGUUUUUUCCGAAGAUGGUGUCUUAGGUUCAGUGGAAUCCAGUAAUAGCUGUUUUUGAAGCGUGUAAUUACUCUUAGAAGCUGGAUGUCAUUCCUGGUAAUUUUCAAAGCUUGUCCCUGAUUGGUCCCAGGUAUAGGAAGAUAUGUUGAGUAUUUAUUAUGCUUACUUUCAAGCAAAAUUAACCCUCAAAAUUGACCUUGCUACACAGUAACCUGCUAAGCUGGAAAAGCAAUCUUUUUUUUCUCUCAGAAUGGGGAGCUCUGAGAGUACAUUUUUCCAAUAUAUAUUUUCAGUUCUGAGAAGGUAUGUAAAACAUUUAACUCAGUAACGUACAUUUUGGGUUACUGAUUCCCAUUCACUGGUGCACAGUAAAUUACAAUUUCUG